AACAUGACUUUGAUCUGCGUCCUCAUCUGGACUCUCCUCUGCUGCUGCUUCACAGAGUCCAGAGGACAGAUCACAGUGACUCAGCCUGGAGCAGUGAGCUCUGCUGUGGGAGGAACUGUGAACAUCAAGUGUACGACCAGUCAGAGGGUAUAUGGUGGAAGCUAUUUAGCCUGGUACCAACAGAAAGAUGGAGGAGUUCAUAAACUUCUCAUUUACUGGUCUAGCACUCGAUAUUCAGGGAUUCCAGCUCGUUUUACAGGCAGUGGAUCAGACUCUGACUUCACUCUGACCAUCAGUGGAGUCCAGGCUGAAGAUGCAGCAGUUUAUUACUGUCAGAGUUAUCAUGAGAUUAACUAUCAGUAUGUGUUCACACAGUGA